GACGAGGGAUCCUAGCGUUGUUCGGAAUCAUUGGGCGUAAAGCGCGCGCAGGCGGCCUUUUAAGUCUCGUGGUGAAAUGCCGGGGCUCAACCCCGUGCCCGCCGGAGAUACUGGGAGGCUGGAGACGAGUAGAGGCAAGCGGAAUUCCGGGUGUAGCGGUGGAAUGCGUAGAGAUCCGGAAGAACACCGGAGGCGAAGGCGGCUUGCUGGGCUCGGUCUGACGCUGAGGCGCGAAAGCUAGGGGAGCAAACGGG
rnacentral:rRNA from 1 species